rnacentral:rRNA from 1 species
GAUGAACGCUGGCGGCGUGCCUAAUACAUGCAAGUCGAGCGAACGGACGAGAAGCUUGCUUCUCUGAUGUUAGCGGCGGACGGGUGAGUAACACGUGGAUAACCUACCUAUAAGACUGGGAUAACUUCGGGAAACCGGAGCUAAUACCGGAUAAUAUUUUGAACCGCAUGGUUCAAAAGUGAAAGACGGUCUUGCUGUCACUUAUAGAUGGAUCCGCGCUGCAUUAGCUAGUUGGUAAGGUAACGGCUUACCAAGGCAACGAUGCAUAGCCGACCUGAGGGGUGAUUCGCCCCACUGGGAAUGGGACAAGGUUCCGACCCCCAAGGGAGGGAGGAGGGGGGAAAAUUUGCCAAAGGGGGAAAGGCUGAACCAGCCAACGCGGGUGGGUGAAGGAGGGUUUCGGGUUGGAAAAACCUUUUUAUGGGGAAAAAAAGAAUGUGUAUAAAACCGUGCUGUUCUGAAGGUACCCAAAUAAUAAGCCCCGGCUAACUUCGUG